rnacentral:sRNA from 1 species
AACAUCUUAAAUAAUGAAAGCCCUACCUCUCUCUCAUCCUUACGGUUCCGAGACCGUGCCAGUGAUAAGAAAAUUCCUUCUUAUCGU